UUUGAAAUCUGGCGUCUUUGGCGUCCGAGUUGUAAUUUGAAGAAGGUAUCUUUGGGCCCGGCUCUUGUCUAUGUUCCUUGGAACAGGACGUCACAGAGGGUGAGAAUCCCGUGCGAUGAGAUGACCCGGGUCUGUGUAAAGUUCCUUCGACGAGUCGAGUUGUUUGGGAAUGCAGCUCUAAGUGGGUGGUAAAUUCCAUCUAAAGCUAAAUAUUGGCGAGAGACCGAUAGCGAACAAGUACAGUGAUGGAAAGAUGAAAAGAACUUUGAAAAGAGAGUGAAAAAGUACGUGAAAUUGUUGAAAGGGAAGGGCUUGAGAUCAAACUUGGUAUUUUGCAUGCUGCUCUCUCGGGGGCGGCCGCUGCGGUUUACCGGGCCAGCAUCGGUUUGGAGCGGCAGGAUAAUGGCGGAGGAAUGUGGCACGGCUUCUGCUGUGUGUUAUAGCCUCUGACGAUACUGCCAGCCUAGACCGAGGACUGCGGUUUUUACCUAGGAUGUUGGCAUAAUGAUCUUAAGUCGCCCGUCUUGAAACACGGACCAAGGAGUCUAACGUCUAUGCGAGUGUUUGGGUGUAAAACCCGUACGCGUAAUGAAAGUGAACGAAGGUGGGGGCCCAUUAGGGUGCACCAUCGACCGAUCCUGAUGUGUUCGGAUGGAUUUGAGUAAGAGCAUAGCUGUUGGGACCCGAAAGAUGGUGAACUAUGCCUGAAUAGGGUGAAGCCAGAGGAAACUCUGGUGGAGGCUCGUAGCGGUUCUGACGU
rnacentral:rRNA from 1 species